UACGUAGGGUGCGAGCGUUAAUCGGAAUUACUGGGCGUAAAGAGCGCGCAGGCGGUCGUUCAAGUCGCGUGUGGAAGCCCCCGGCUCAACUGGGGAGGGUCACGCGAUACUGAUCGACUCGAAGGCAGGAGAGGGUAGUGGAAUUCCCGGUGUAGUGGUGAAAUGCGUAGAUAUCGGGAGGAACACCAGUGGCGAAGGCGACUACCUGGCCUGUUUCUUGACGCUGAGGCGCGAAGCUAGGGAGCAACGGG
rnacentral:rRNA from 1 species